AUUGAACGCUGGCGGCGUGCUUAACACAUGCAAGUCGAUCGGUAACGCGGGGGCAACCCUGGCGACGAGAGGCGGACGGGUGAGGAACGCUUGGGAAUCUGCCUAUCAGCAGGGGACAACCCGGGGAAACUCGGGCUAAUACCGCAUACGCUCUACGGAGGAAAGCCGGGGACCGCAAGGCCUGGCACUGAUAGAUGAGCCCAAGUCGGAUUAGCUAGUUGGCGGGGUAACGGCCCACCAAGGCGACGAUCCGUAGCUGGUCUGAGAGGACGAUCAGCCACACUGGGACGGAGACACGGCCCAGACUCCUACGGGAGGCAGCAGUGGGGAAUAUUGGACAAUGGGGGAAACCCUGAUCCAGCGACGCCGCGUGGGUGAAGAAGGCCUGCGGGUUGUAAAGCUCUGUCGUUUGGGACGAACGUGCUUUGUGUGAAUAAUGCAGAGUAAUGACGGUACCAAAGGAGGAAGCCACGGCUAACUACGUGCCAGCCGCCGCCGUAAUAC
rnacentral:rRNA from 1 species